rnacentral:rRNA from 1 species
GAUGAACGCUAGCUACAGGCUUAACACAUGCAAGUCGAGGGACCGGCGCACGGGUGAGUAACGCGUAUCCAACCUUCCCAUUCCUGUGGGAUAACCUACCGAAGGGCAGACUAAUACAGCAUAGUAAUGGCUGGGGAUGCGUCUGAUUAGCUUGUUGGCGGGGUAACGGCCCACCAAGGCGACGAUCAGUAGGGGUUCUGAGAGGAAGGUCCCCCGCAUUGGAACUGAGGCACGGUCCCAACCGCUAGGGGAGGCAGCAGUGAGGAAUACUGGUCAAUGGAGGUAAGUCUGAACCAGCCAAGUAGCGUGCAGGAGGACGGCCUAUGGGUUGUAAACUGCUGUUGUAGGGGGAUCGGUACCAUACGAAUAAGGACCGGCUAAUUCCGUGCCAGCAGCCGCGGUAAUUC